rnacentral:piRNA from 1 species
UAGCUUUCCAGCGGGGUGCAGUCCUAU